GACGAACGCUGGCGGCGUGCUUAACACAUGCAAGUCGAACGGAAAGGCCUGUCCUUCCUUGUGUUGGACGGGUACUCGAGUGGCGAACGGGUGAGUAACACGUGAGUGAUCUGCCCCCAACUUGGGUAUAAGCCUGGGAAACUGGGUCUAAUUCCCGAUAGGACUGCAGGGUGGUGCCUGUGGUGGAAAACGAUUUUCUAGUGGUUGGGGAUGAGCUGGCGGCCUAUCAGCUUGUUGGUGGGGUAAUGGCCUACCAAGGCGGCGACGGGUAGCCGGCCUGAGAUGGUGGACGGCCACAUUGGGACUGAGAUACGGCCCAGACUCCUACGGGAGGCAGCAGUGGGGAAUAUUGCACAAUGGGCGGAAGCCUGAUGCAGCGACGCCGCGUGGGGGAUGACGGCCUUCGGGUUGUAAACUCCUUUCGACCGCGAGGAAGCCGCCUGGUUGGAAGGGUGGUGACGGUAGUGGUAGAAGAAGCACCGGCUAACUACGUG
rnacentral:rRNA from 1 species